CCUACGGGAGGCAGCAGUGGGGAAUAUUGGACAAUGGGCGAAAGCCUGAUCCAGCCAUGCCGCGUGUGUGAAGAAGGCCUUCGGGUUGUAAAGCACUUUCAGUGGGGAAGAAAGCCUUGGGGCUAAUACCCUCGAGGAAGGACAUCACCCACAGAAGAAGCACCGGCUAACUCCGUGCCAGCAGCCGCGGUAAUACGGAGGGUGUGAGCGUUAAUCGGAAUUACUGGGCGUAAAGCGCGCGUAGGCGGUCUGAUAAGCCGGUUGUGAAAGCCCCGGGCUCAACCUGGGAACGGCAUCCGGAACUGUCAGGCUAGAGUGCAGGAGAGGAAGGUAGAAUUCCCGGUGUAGCGGUGAAAUGCGUAGAGAUCGGGAGGAAUACCAGUGGCGAAGGCGGCCUUCUGGACUGACACUGACGCUGAGGUGCGAAAGCGUGGGUAGCAAACAGGAUUAGAUACCCGAGUAGUC
rnacentral:rRNA from 1 species